CCAGAGGAACCAGAGAGAGCAGCAGUGAGUCCUGCUCAGAGUUUCAGAGCCUGCACAGUCAGUCAGUCCAGAGAGCCAAAGGUGAGUGGAACUAAACUUAAUCUUUUAAUUGUAACAUGGAAUGUUUUAGCAUAUCUCAUGCAUCAUGAUUAUGCCAUAGGUUGAUUGCAUUAGUAUCCACGAAUAUGUUGCAUUGCAUAGUGAAUUGUUGAUGUGGGUAAAUGCUGAAUGAUCCAAUAGUUCCAGACAGGAAGUCCAGGAGCCUUUGACUACGCCCUGGCAGUUAUAGUAAAGACCAGGAGCCUUUGACUACGCCCUGGCAAUGGUAAGUACAGAGGUGUUAUAUACACAUAUACAUAUAUGACAGGAAGACCAGGUGCUCGAUUCUACGCCCUGGCACAGAGUUACUGGGACUAUGUGGUGACAGGUUUACUCUUGAUGUGGUUUGUCUGUGUUAUGACGCAUUCCAUGAGAGCAUGUUUUACUGAGAUGUUUUACUGUUCUACUCACUGGGCUAUAGAGCUCAUCCCACUCCCUUAACCCCAGUCUUGCAGGUUCAGUGUACAGUGUACAGGGACAGUCCAGCAGAGUACAGAAAGAGUAAAAGAGCUUGUAAUAGUAUAGAGUGGACAUGUAAAUUUUAAAGAGAUGUAAUAGUUGUGUAUAAAGUUAGAGCUGUGC
rnacentral:lncRNA from 1 species